GCACAAGCGGUGGAUGAUGUGGUUUAAUUCGAUGCAACGCGAAAACCUUACCCACCUUGACAUGGCAGGAAUCCCGAAGAGAUUGGAGUGCUCGAAAGAGAACCUGCACACAGGUGCUGCAUGGCUGUCGUCAGCUCGUGUCGUGGGAUGUUGGGUUAAGUCCCGCAACGAGCGCAACCCUUGCCAUUAGUUGCUACGAAAGGGCACUCUAAUGGGACUGCCGGUGACAAACCGGAGGAAGGUGGGGAUGACGUCAAGUCCUCAUGGCCCUUAUAGGUGGGGCUACACACGUCAUACAAUGGCCGGUACAGAGGGUAGCCAACCCGCGAGGGGGAGCCAAUCCCACAAAGCCGGUCGUAGUCCGGAUCGCAGUCUGCAACUCGACUGCGUGAAGUCGGAAUCGCUAGUAAUCGCGGAUCAGCAUGUCGCGGUGAAUACGUUCCCGGGUCUU
rnacentral:rRNA from 1 species